UACGUAGGGUGCAAGCGUUGUCCGGAAUUAUUGGGCGUAAAGGGCUCGUAGGCGGUUUGUCGCGUCGGGAGUGAAAACACGGGGCUUAACCCCGUGCCUGCUUCCGAUACGGGCAGACUAGAGGUAUGCAGGGGAGAACGGAAUUCCUGGUGUAGCGGUGAAAUGCGCAGAUAUCAGGAGGAACACCGGUGGCGAAGGCGGGUCUCUGGGCCGUAACUGACGCUGAGGAGCGAAAGCAUGGGGAGCGAACAGG
rnacentral:rRNA from 1 species